rnacentral:rRNA from 1 species
GGUUAAGCGACUAAGCGUACACGGUGGAUGCCCUGGCAGUCAGAGGCGAUGAAGGACGUGCUAAUCUGCGAUAAGCGCCGGUAAGGUGAUAUGAACCGUUAUAACCGGCGAUUUCCGAAUGGGGAAACCCAGUGUGAUUCGUCACACUAUCAUUAACUGAAUCCAUAGGUUAAUGAGGCGAACCGGGGGAACUGAAACAUCUAAGUACCCCGAGGAAAAGAAAUCAACCGAGAUUCCCCCAGUAGCGGCGAGCGAACGGGGAGGAGCCCAGAGCCUGAAUCAGCAUGUGUGUUAGUGGAAGCGUCUGGAAAGGCGCGCGAUACAGGGUGACAGCCCCGUACACAAAAGCGCAUGUGCUGUGAGCUCGAUGAGUAGGGCGGGACACGUGGUAUCCUGUCUGAAUAUGGGGGGACCAUCCUCCAAGGCUAAAUACUCCUGACUGACCGAUAGUGAACCAGUACCGUGAGGGAAAGGCGAAAAGAACCCCGGCGAGGGGAGUGAAAAAGAACCUGAAACCGUGUACGUACAAGCAGUGGGAGCACAGGUUUACCUGUGUGACUGCGUACCUUUUGUAUAAUGGGUCAGCGACUUAUAUUCUGUAGCAAGGUUAACCGAAUAGGGGAGCCGUAGGGAAACCGAGUCUUAACCGGGCGUUAAGUUGCAGGGUAUAGACCCGAAACCCGGUGAUCUAGCCAUGGGCAGGUUGAAGGUUGGGUAACACUAACUGGAGGACCGAACCGACUAAUGUUGAAAAAUUAGCGGAUGACCUGUGGCUGGGGGUGAAAGGCCAAUCAAACCGGGAGAUAGCUGGUUCUCCCCGAAAGCUAUUUAGGUAGCGCCUCGUGAAUUCAUCUCCGGGGGUAGAGCACUGUUUCGGCUAGGGGGCCAUCCCGGCUUACCAACCCGAUGCAAACUGCGAAUACCGGAGAAUGUUAUCACGGGAGACACACGGCGGGUGCUAACGUCCGUCGUGAAGAGGGAAACAACCCAGACCGCCAGCUAAGGUCCCAAAGUCAUGGUUAAGUGGGAAACGAUGUGGGAAGGCCCAGACAGCCAGGAUGUUGGCUUAGAAGCAGCCAUCAUUUAAAGAAAGCGUAAUAGCUCACUGGUCGAGUCGGCCUGCGCGGAAGAUGUAACGGGGCUAAACCAU